AUGAAUGUAGCGGCCAAAGCUGGAAAGCUGGCUCGAGCACCAGCUGACCUCGGGAAAGGUGGGGUCCCGGGAGAUGCAGCUCCCGGUGCCCCAGUGGCCGCCCCGUUGAUGAAAGAGAUUCUGGAGGUCCUCAUGGACCCACGCAGCCCGUGGCAGUAUGUAUGGGGGCACUUUCUGGGUAAAGGAGGCUUCGCCAAAUGCUUCGAGAUCUCAGACGCAGACACAAAAGAGGUGUUCACAGGCAAGAUCUUGCCUAAGUCUUUGCUGCUCAAGCCCCACCAGAAGGAGAAGAUGUCUAUGGAGAUCUCCUUUCACCGCAGCCUUGCACACUAACAUGUCGUAGGCUUCCAUGGCCUGCCUUUUUUUUUUUUUUUUUUUUUUUUUUUUUUUUUGACAGCAACUUUGUGUUUGUGGUUUUGGAGCUCUGUAGAAGGAGGUCCCUCCUGGGAGCUGCACAAGAGGAGGAAGGCACUGACUGAGCCUGAGGCCCGCCACUACCUGCGGCAGAUAGUCCUGGGCUGCCAGUAUCUGCACAACAAUCAAGUCAUUCACAGGGACCUCAAGCUGGGCAACCUCUUCAUGAAUGAGAAUCUGGAGGUGAAAAUACGGGAUUUUGGCUUGGCAACCGAAGUGAAAUGUGAAAGGGAACAAAAGAAGACCUUGUGUGGCACUCCUAACUACAUAGCUCCUGAGGUGCUGAGCAAGAAGGGACACAGUUUUGAGGUGAAUGUGUGGUCCAUAGGGUGCAUCAUGUAUACCUUGCUAGUGGGCAAGCCACCCUUUGAGACCUCAUGCCUAAAAGAGAUCUACCUCAGGAUCAAGAAAAAUGAAUACAGUAAUCCCAAACACACCAACCCAGUGGCUGCCUCCCUCAUCCAGAAGAUGCUUCAGACAGGUCCCAUUGCCCACCUCACCAUUCAUGAGUUGCUCAAUGACAAGUUCUGCACUUCUGGCUACAUCCCCCCUUCUCCCUGUUACCUGCCUCACCAUCCCACCAAGGUUUUCAAUAGCUCCCAGCAGCCUGGACCCCAGCAGCAGGAAGACUUUCAAGGUCCGCAAUAAAGGCAUGGAGAACCCCUCACCUGACCGUCCUCAGGAGAAAGAGGAGUCAGUGGUUCAGGAGAUGAGGCCAUCAAGUGUCACCUUAGUGACUUGCUACAGCAGCUGACCAGUGUCAAUACCUCCAAGCCCUCAGAGCGUGGGCGGUGUGGCAAGAGGAGGCUGGGGAUCCUGCUCGUAUCCCUAUCUUCUGGGUCAGCAGGUGGGUGGACUACUCGGACAAGUAUGGCCUUGGGUAUCAGUUGUGUGACAACAGUGUAGGGGUGCUCUUUAAUGACUCAACACGCCUCAUCCUCUACAAUGACGGGGACAGCCUGCAGUACAUAGAGCGUGAUGGCACAGAGUCCUACCUCACCAUGAGCUCCCACCUCAACUCCUUGAUGAAGAAGAUCACUCUCCUCAACUAUUUCCACAAUUACAUAAGUGAACACCCGCUGAAGGCAGGGGCUAACAUCACACCCUGGGAAGGUGACAAGCUUGCCCGGCUGCCCUACCUACGAACAUGGUUCUGCACGUGCAGCAACAUCAUCCUGCACCUCAGCAAUGGCACUGUGCAGAUUAUUUUCUUCCAGGACUACACCAAACUUAUCCUGUGCCCCCUAAUAGCAGCGGUGACCUACAUCAACGAGAAGAGGGACUUCCGGAUAUACGGCCUGAGCCUCUUGGAGGAAUAUGGCUGCUGCAAGGAGCUGGCUAGCCGCCUCCACUAUGCUCACACCAUGGUAGACAAGCUCUGAGCUCAUGCUCUGCCAGCAACCGUCUCAAGGCUUCCUAGGUCUCUGUCCUUCAGACUGGUGCCCCUUCACUCUGCUAGCUCUGGGCCUACACUGCUGGGCUCCUGGGGCUGCUGUUCAGUGCCCCUGGCCCUGGGGGGCUGGGCAGGGAGCAGUGGCCCUUUGAAGGGGUUGCUGUGUGUGAGUUAUUUGUACAUGUUUGGGUGUG